rnacentral:rRNA from 1 species
UACGUAGGUGGCGAGCGUUGUCCGGAUUUAUUGGGUUUAAAGGGUGCGUAGGCGGCUCUAUAAGUCAGUGCUGAAAUAUCCCGGCUUAACCGGGAGGGUGGCAUUGAUACUGCAGAGCUUGAGUAAAGUUGAGGUGGGCGGAAUUGACGGUGUAGCGGUGAAAUGCUUAGAUAUCGUCAAGAACACCGAUUGCGAAGGCAGCUCACUAAGCUUUAACUGACGCUGAGGCACGAAAGUGUGGGGAUCAAAC